CCUACGGGGUGCUGCAGUGGGGAAUAUUGGACAAUGGGCGAAAGCCUGAUCCAGCCAUGCCGCGUGUGUGAAGAAGGCCUUCGGGUUGUAAAGCACUUUCAGUGGGGAAGAAAGCCUUGGGGCUAAUACCCUCGAGGAAGGACAUCACCCACAGAAGAAGCACCGGCUAACUCCGUGCCAGCAGCCGCGGUAAUACGGAGGGUGCGAGCGUUAAUCGGAAUUACUGGGCGUAAAGCGCGCGUAGGCGGUCUGAUAAGCCGGUUGUGAAAGCCCCGGGCUCAACCUGGGAACGGCAUCCGGAACUGUCAGGCUAGAGUGCAGGAGAGGAAGGUAGAAUUCCCGGUGUAGCGGUGAAAUGCGUAGAGAUCGGGAGGAAUACCAGUGGCGAAGGCGGCCUUCUGGACUGACACUGACGCUGAGGUGCGAAAGCGUGGGUAGCAAACAGGAUUAGAUACCCUAGUAGUC
rnacentral:rRNA from 1 species